GUGUAUUUAACCCUCUGUCCCCCCCAUGUCUAUGUGUGGGAUUGUUUACUGUAAGUGCUUGUGCACGUGUUGUUUGGUGGGCGAGGGGUUUUUGUACCCAAUUAUUCUGGUUAUUUUUAUGUCGUAGGUUUUGCUAUUAAACUGCUCCGGCUAUAGUUCUGCUCUCCUGGUGAUUACUCACCCCUUACAGGAAUGGUGCUGAUAGUGGGCCUCUGUAGCCUAUGUUAUAGUUCUGCUCUCCUGGUGAUUACUCACCCCUUACAGGAGUGGUAAUGAUAGUGGGCCUCUGUAGCCUAUGUUAUAGUUCUGCUCUCCUGGUGAUUACACACCCCUUACAGGAGUGGUAAUGAUAAUGGGCCUCUGUAGCCUGUGUGAAUAUUCCAUUAAAAAAAUCUGCCUUUUCCAGCUACAAUGGUCAUUUACAACAUUAACAAUGUCUACACUGUAUUUCUGAUUAAUUUAAUGUUAUUUUAAAUGGACAAAAAAAAAUGUGAUUUUCUCUAACUAGAUAUCUACUAUCUGCUAGUCACAGUGUUUUCUCUAACUAGAUAUCUACUAUCUGCUAGUCACAGUGUUUUCUCUAACUAGAUAUCUACUAUCUGCUAGUCACAGUGUUUUCCUUAAACUGAUUUUUGGGUUUGUAUUUGUGUUUUUCGUUUGUUUCGUUUUACCUCAGCCCUCCACUUCCUCCAAAGACCAAGACUGUGUCUUUCGUUUUAAGGUAAAGAGGUCAAAAUUCAAACUCAGGGGACUAAAAUUGUACCAAAUUCAGAAAAAAACUGUCAGACCCUCCUAAUAGUGUACUCAACCGUGACUGUCUUCCCUCUCCUCCCAGCACCACCUCAAAGAGCAUGAAAGAUCCCAAGACAGCCAUGAGUCCUGGGAGCACCUCCCCAAAGUCCCUAAACUCCCCAAAGUCCCUAAACUCCCCCACAAGCUCAUCGCUGAAGAGCCCAUCCAUGUCCCUCUUUACUGCAAGGGUCUUUUCCUCCCCCAAAAAACUAUUCUACUCCCCACUAAGCCCUCCAGAGGUACUCCCCCACGCCAUUACCCACAUCACUGAUGAAGAGCCCCCAGCAGUCCCAACAACUCCACCACCUCCAACAACUCUACCACUACCACCUCCUCCAACAACUCUACCACCACCAACUUCUCCAACAACUCCACCACCACCAACUUCUCCAACAACUCCACCAACGUCUCCAACAACUCUACCACCACCUCCAACUUCUCCAACAACUCUACCACCACCUCCAACAACUCCACCNNNNNNNNNNUUCAAGUUCAGUCUCAGAUACCAGCAGCAGAGAGGAGCCACUGUAGUGAAGGAGGAGAUGUCUAACUGGUCUGCUUGUACUGUGUUCUGCAGUAAGACCCUCCCCAGGGAUAGACUCAAGCUCAUCUCAGGUUUGGGCCAGGACAGACAUAGCAGAGGAGGGGUUCAGCUCUAGACCAGGACAGACAUAGCAGAGGAGGGGUUCAGCACUAGACCAGGACAGACAUAGCAGAGGAGGGGUUCAGCACUAGACCAGGACAGAGCAGAGGAGGGGUUCAGCUCUAGACCAGGACAGACAUAACAGAGGAGGGGUUCAGCUCUAGACCAGGACAGACAUAACAGGAGGGGUUCAGCACUAGACCAGGACANNNNNNNNNNAACAAAGUCUGCUGUUCUCAACCAUUUAAGUUUGUGAUUGUUCAAUCAUAACUCGGGCUCUAUGUGUUGACCAUUAUUGCGUAAUCAAGCAUACCAUCUAGCAUGCCAUUCUUAACCACAUCAGGAAGCGUUCGUCAUAAAACAGAUACAUCCACAUUCAGGUAUGUCCUCAGGACAGGUCAUUGGAAUGUUGAAACGUAGCAGGUGACCCAGGUUGUGAGUGUUCAUCACACCAAUAUCUCUGUUACAUUUCAUGUUUCUUCUAGCACAGACUGGACCAUCCUCGCCUGCUUUCUGCGAUGUCUGUUUUCAGUCAGAAGUCUAAGCCUGUCAGAAGGAGUCAGGAGAUGAGUGCCAGUCAGAACAUUGUUGACAGCAGCAGGAAGAAGACCAGUCUGCUGAAAGACAACAGCUGGAUCGGACGCAGCAUGGAGGAGGAGGAGGAGCUAGUGGAGUAAGUGGGACACACACACACACACACACUGUGUGGAGAGGUUCUGAGCUGUCUCAAAUCUACUGACACUGUCACCAUGGUAAGAAGUUUACCAAUGUCAAACAUCUACAUGAUUGGACAAUAUCAAAUUUGGUAGAAAUCUCUCUCUCGCUAACAUCCACCUCCCUCUGUUUAAUGCUAACCACAGCCUGCAGUCGGAGGUGGGCCAGCCCAUCCCUGCCAGCCCCAGCACCCCAGUCAACCAUGUGACCAAGAGGUACAUUUGCAUUGUGUUUAUUUUAGCAGCGUUCCUGCCUAGAAGGCUAUUAUCCCGGAGUCGCCUCUUCACUGUUGACGUUGAGACUGGUGUUUUGCGGGUACUAUUUAAUGAAGCUGCCAGUUGAGGACUUGUGAGGCGCCUGUUUCUCAAACUAGACACACUAAUGUACUUGUCCUCUUGCUCAGUUGUGCACCGGGGCCUCCCACUCCCAACGCCAGUUUGCGUUGUUCUGUGAAGGGAGUAGUACACAGCAUUGUACGCAAUCUUCAGUUUCUUGGCAAUUUCUCACAUUGAAUAGCCUUCAUUUCUCAGAACAAGAAUAGACUGAUGAGUUUCAGAAGAAAGUUCUUUGUUUCUGGCCAUUUUGAGCCUGUAAUCGAACCCACAAAUGCUGAUGCUCCAGAUACUCAACCAGUUUAAAGAAGGUCAGUUUUAUUGCAUCUUUAAUCAGAACAACAGUUUUCAUCUGUGCUAACAUAAUUGCAAAAGGAUUUUCUAAUGAUCAAUUAGCCUUUUAAAAUUAUAAACUUGGAUGAGCAAACACAACGUGCCCUUGGAACACAGGAGUUGUCACGACUUCCGCUGAUGUCGGGUCCUCUCCUAUGUACGGGCGGCGCUCGGCGUCGGGUCCUCUCCUAUGUACGGGCGGCGCUCGGCGUCGGGUCCUCUCCUAUGUACGGGCGGCGCUCGGCGUCGGGUCCUCUCCUAUGUACGGGCGGCGCUCGGCGUCGGGUCCUCUCCUAUGUACGNNNNNNNNNNGUUUACCAAUGUCAAACAUCUACAUGAUUGGACAAUAUCAAAUUUGGUAGAAAUCUCUCUCUCGCUAACAUCCACCUCCCUCUGUUUAAUGCUAACCACAGCCUGCAGUCGGAGGUGGGCCAGCCCAUCCCUGCCAGCCCCAGCACCCCAGUCAACCAUGUGACCAAGAGGUACAUUUGCAUUGUGUUUAUUUUAGCAGCGUUCCUGCCUAGAAGGCUAUUAUCCCGGAGUCGCCUCUUCACUGUUGACGUUGAGACUGGUGUUUUGCGG
rnacentral:lncRNA from 13 species